GAUGAACGCUGGCGGCGUGCCUAAUACAUGCAAGUCGAGCGAACGGACGAGAAGCUUGCUUCUCUGAUGUUAGCGGCGGACGGGUGAGUAACACGUGGAUAACCUACCUAUAAGACUGGGAUAACUUCGGGAAACCGGAGCUAAUACCGGAUGAUAUUUUGAACCGCAUGGUUCAAAAGUGAAAGACGGUCUUGCUGUCACUUAUAGAUGGAUCCGCGCUGCAUUAGCUAGUUGGUAAGGUAACGGCUUACCAAGGCAACGAUGCAUAGCCGACCUGAGAGGGUGAUCGGCCACACUGGAACUGAGACACGGUCCAGACUCCUACGGGAGUCAGCAGUAGGGAAUCUUCCGCAAUGGGCGAAAGCCUGACGGAGCAACGCCGCGUGAGUGAUGAAGGUCUUCGGAUCGUAAAACUCUGUUAUUAGGGAAGAACAUAUGUGUAAGUAACUGUGCACAUCGUGACGGUACCUAAUCAGAAAGCCACGGCUAACUACGUG
rnacentral:rRNA from 1 species